GGCAAGGGGGCGGCGUUUCUGUUCUAACCCUAACGGGCGCUGGGCCGCUCCUCGCGCGCACGCGCUGUUUUCCUCGCUGACUUUCAGCGCGCGGCGGGAGCAGGCCGGAUCCACCAACCAAAAAACGUCAGCGCGGCGCCGCCCCCGCCCGGCCGCCGGCUCCACCUGGCGCCUCCGCGGCGGCGGCGGCUGCACCCCGCCUCCGCCGUGCGCCUGCCGGGGCCGCGGCAGCCGGCCCGCGCCACUGCUGCCGCCAAGAGUCCGGCUCUGCGCGCCCCGCGGGCGGCGGCCAGCAGAGCAACGGAGUGGCCUUGCCCUCAGCCCGCCGCUCCGGAGCUGUGGGGCGCGCGGCGGCGGCUGCUCCGACACGUGCUCGUGCUGCGGCCGGGGGGAGGGGGGUGUGCCGGCCCCGCCCCUCCCCCUUCGCGCGCGCGUGGCCCCGCCCCUGCCUCACGGUGCCCUCCCUCUCUCCGCAGGGGUGCCGUCUCUGCCCCCGUCCCCCGAGGGGUGCCCGUGCCUGGCAGCGAGCGCUUGGAUCCAAGAGCCCAGCCGCGCAGGUCUCCUUUUUCAUCUUGAAAUGCGAUUCAGGAAGUUGAAGCCAGAGGGCUGUGUACAGAUUCAGUUUCUGGUCCCUUUAUGUUGGAAUCAGUUGUCAGAGUUCAAAUAAAGCUUCUUUCAGUGGA